GCCUGGCUGGUUCAGUUGAUAGAACAUGUGACUAUUGAUCUCAGGAUUGUGAGUUCAAGCCCCAUGUUGGGUA
rnacentral:tRNA from 1 species